UGGCCAAUCUUCCGUAAUGGGCGUGGGCCUGACGGAGAAACGCCAAAUGAGUGCCGAAGGGUUUCGGUUCGUAAAGAUCUGUUGACGGGCCCGAAGGUGCGAUCUGCGAAUAACUUUUUGGGAUGACGGGACCCGUCGAGGAUUCCACGGGUAACUACGACCCAGCGGCCGCGGUAAUAAAUAGGUGGCGUGCGUUCUCCG
rnacentral:rRNA from 1 species